rnacentral:rRNA from 1 species
UCGAGCGAACGGAUAAGGAGCUUGCUCCUUUGAAGUUAGCGGCGGACGGGUGAGUAACACGUGGGUAACCUACCUAUAAGACUGGAAUAACUUCGGGAAACCGGAGCUAAUGCCGGAUAACAUUUGGAACCGCAUGGUUCUAAAGUAAAAGAUGGUUUUGCUAUCACUUAUAGAUGGACCCGCGCCGUAUUAGCUAGUUGGUAAGGUAACGGCUUACCAAGGCAACGAUACGUAGCCGACCUGAGAGGGUGAUCGGCCACACUGGAACUGAGACACGGUCCAGACUCCUACGGGAGGCAGCAGUAGGGAAUCUUCCGCAAUGGACGAAAGUCUGACGGAGCAACGCCGCGUGAGUGAUGAAGGUUUUCGGAUCGUAAAACUCUGUUAUUAGGGAAGAACAAAUGCGUAAGUAACUGUGCGCAUCUUGACGGUACCUAAUCAGAAAGCCACGGCUAACUACGUGCCAGCAGCCGCGGUAAUACGUAGGUGGCAAGCGUUAUCCGGAAUUAUUGGGCGUAAAGCGCGCGUAGGCGGUUUCUUAAGUCUGAUGUGAAAGCCCACGGCUCAACCGUGGAGGGUCAUUGGAAACUGGGAAACUUGAGUACAGAAGAGGAAAGUGGAAUUCCAUGUGUAGCGGUGAAAUGCGCAGAGAUAUGGAGGAACACCAGUGGCGAAGGCGACUUUCUGGUCUGUAACUGACGCUGAUGUGC